CAGGCACAAAGCCAAGGUUGGCGAUUCACAGCCACCUGGAGGGUGUUAUUUAAACAGGCACAAAGCCAAGGUUGGUUAUUCACAGCCACCUGGAGGGUGUUAUUUAAACAGGCACAAAGCCAAGGUUGGUUAUUCACAGCCACCUGGAGGGUGUUAUUUAAACAGGCACAAAGCCAAGGUUGGCGAUUCACAGCCACCUGGAGGGUGUUAUUUAAACAGGCACAAAGCCAAGGUUGGUGAUUCACUGCCCCCACACCUUGUGACCUCGAUGGAAUUAUGUGAUCCUUCCUUAACCCACAGGAUGUCCUGCCCAGUUGACUACUUCAAAAUGGUGAAAGUCCUCAAUGUUACUGUCCAUGCUAAAACAGGCUUUUGGGCACACUAAAAUAGAUAGAGGACUAUCUAUCUAUCUUGAUAGGACUUAUAGGCUGUCUCCCAAAUGGGCCCUGGUCGAAAGUAGUGCACUACAUAGGGAAUAGGGUGCCAUUGGCCAUAGGGCCCUGGUCGAAAGUAGUGCACUACAUAGGGAAUAGGGUGCCAUUGGCCAUAGGGCCCUGGUCUAAAGUAGUGCACUACAUAGGGAAUAGGGUGCCAUUGGCCAUAGGGCCCUGGUCAAAAGUAGUGCACUACAUAGGGAAUAGGGUGCCAUUUGGGACCCAAACAUGGACUUACAGGUGUUGGUGUAUGUAUACUUCAUAUCUAAGAGACAAUCGUAACCCAAGACUCGUCUGGAGCUGCGUUCAACUGGACUUUUUUUCUUCCAUUUUUGUCGGAAUUGAAAAAAAUAAAUGCAAAGAGAGGAACCUUCUGUACCCUGAGGUCAUAGUUCAUCCUUUACCCUGAGGUCAUAGUUCAUCCUUUACCCUGGGGUCAUGGUUCAUCCUUUACCCUGAGGUCAUGGUUCAUCCUUUACCUUGAGGUCAUGGUUCAUCCUUUACCCUGAGGUCAUAGUUCAUCCUUUACCCUGAGGUCAUGGUUCAUCCUUUACCCUGAGGUCAUGGUUUAUCCUUUACCCUGAGGUCAUGGUUCAUCCUUUACCCUGAGGUCAUAGUUCAUCCUUUACCCUGAGGUCAUGGUUCAUCCUUUACCCUGAGGUCAUAGUUCAUCCUUUACCCUGAGGUCAUGGUUCAUCCUUUACCCUGAGGUCAUAGUUCAUCCUUUACCCUGAGGUCAUGGUUCAUCCUUUACCCUGAGGUCAUGGUUUAUCCUUUACCCUGAGGUCAUAGCUCAUCCUUUACCCUGAGGUCAUAGUUCAUCCUUUACCCUGAGGUCAUAGUUCAUCCUUUACCCUGAGGUCAUGGUUUAUCCUUUACCCUGAGGUCAUAGUUCAUCCUUUACCCUGAGGUCAUAGUUCAUUCUGUACCCUGAGGUCAUAGUUCAUCCUUUACCCUGAGGUCAUAGUUCAUUCUGUACCCUGAGGUCAUAGUUCAUCCUUUACCCUGAGGUCAUGGUUCAUCCUUUACCCUGAGGUCAUAGUUCAUCCUUUACCCUGAGGUCAUGGUCCAUCAUUUACCCUGAGGUCAUAGUUCAUCCUUUACCCUAAGGUCAUAGCUCAUCCUUUACCCUGAGGUCAUAGCUCAUCCUUUACCCUGAGGUCAUAGCUCAUCCUUUAUCCUGAGGUCAUAGCUCAACCUUUACCCUGAGGUCAUAGCUCAUCCUUUACCCUGAGGUCAUAGCUCAUCCUUUACCCUGAGGUCAUAGCUCAUCCUUUACCCUUAGGUCAUAGCUCAUCCUUUACCCUGAGGUCAUAGCUCAUCCUUUACCCUGAGGUCAUAGCUCAUCCUUUAUCCUGGGCUCAAGUUGGAAGUUGUCCCUAGACACAAAGAUCAGUUUAACGUUGGCCACUUUCCUCUAAAGCAAUGCACUGUGGGACCAGGGUUGGGGUUGGGGGGGAGAGAGUCGAUUGCAUCCCAAAUGGCAUCCGAUUUCCUAUAUACGGUCAACAGUAGUGCACUACAGAGGGAAUAGGGAGACAUUCUGGUCUAAUGUAGUGCACUACUGAGGGAAUAGGGUGCCAUUCUGGUCAACAGUAGUGCACUACAGAGGGAAUAGGGUGCCAUUCUGGUCUAAUGUAGUGCACUACAGAGGGAAUAGGGAGCCAUUCUGGUCAACAGUAGUGCACUACAGAGGGAAUAGGGAACCCUCUGGUCAACAGUAGUGCACUACAGAGGGAAUAGGGUGCCAUUCUGGUCUAAUGUAGUGCACUACAGAGGGAAUAUGGAGCUAUUCUGGUCAACAGUAGUGCACUACAGAGGGAAUAGCGAACCCUCUGGUCAACAGUAGUGCACUACAGAGGGAAUAGGGUGCCAUUCUGGUCAACAGUAGUGCACUACAGAGGGAAUAGGGAACCCUCUGGUCAACAGUAGUGCACUACAGAGGGAAUAGGGUGCCAUUCUGGUCUAAUGUAGUGCACUACAGAGAGUAGGGUGUAAUUUGGGACGCCGACGGGGUCUUCCACCACCUCUGUUGUUUUGUAAAUCUGUAUUUGGCACUUUAUCAGACGGACCCACCCUGCUGCAUAUCUGCAUUAAAUAUUUAACAAUAAAUAUGUCUGCUAAAUGUAG
ensembl:lncRNA